AUGGAUCGAUUUAGUGUUAAAAGGAAGGUGAGUGUCACAUAUUUGAGGUGUGCCUUACAAAGUAAAACUCCGGCCACAGCACAGCUAAGCCCAGUCAUUCUCCCAAAGGAAAGACGCUGCAGGUCACAGGAGGACAUGGUCCCAUUUGUGCACAAGAAGAACAUACAAAGAAAGCCAGGGUUUAGCAGAACUACGACCCAAAUGCCUCUAUGCACUCCACAUUCUUCAAGGCUGAUCUCUAUCCCCCUCAGUGGCCCAUAUGACAACCCUCAUCCCUCUAUUUCUUAACUCAGCUGUGGAAAGGAACACCUAGGCAGCAAACAAGCAAUGUCAGGUUGAGGUGGAAACUGUAAACACUAGUGAGCACAAAAGGGAUGCUGUUCCUUUAGGAGGUUGAAGGAUUUGGAGAUAUCCGGUCCUGUAGCUCAUAAGAAUUGGUCUCGAGAAGCCCAUCGGAGCUAAAGAGGCCGAAGUAGUUUAGCUCCUUUUCUUUGUGGGGUAGGGAUGAGGUUCACCCAUCUAUUCAAGUGGGCCUCAGAAGUCACUUAAUUCAAGAUAAGCAGUGGUCCCCAGGAGCGACACCUUGGUUCUGCUACACACACAUAACAUGCACACAUGCUUCCCCUGCUAGGCUGGAUGAUCCACCUGACUUCACCUGUUGUUUUUGUAGGAUUACUGGCGUCCCGUAUGGAAUUGGCAAGGGGGCACCUAUUUCCCCACGCUACAAAACAAGACCUCCUCAACCCACUGCACCAAGGAAAUGAGGCAGGCUCAGGGAGAAAGAAGCCCAUCUUCCCUGGCAUUUCCAGCACAGAAAAUAGGAUUAGAAUCACAAGGCCACAGCGUUUGGCAACUACAGAGAGCCCAUCCGGCAAAUCCCAAAUUCGCUUCUGAGCAGGUAAGUGAUGGGAAAGUAGGACCACAGCCUCCAUAGCACAGCAGCAGUGGGACUUGAAUCUGCCACAAUUAUUUCAGUGAAGGACUACAAGCAGGCAGCCACCAGAUUGUAGAGGAUUCAGAGAAGCAGCAAAUAGAAAAGAUGUCUGGCAUUGAAUAAACCUCUCCCUGAUAGAGGCGUAUAAUAGCAAGGAAAGCCCCAAAUCCCAAAAGUUGUUACUAAGAGACCUUUUUAGUGGGAGAUGUGUAGCAUCAGACCCUUCAAGAAGGCACAGAAAAAGACCUUGCAUACACAGAAGGACCGUAUUCCAACAGAAAACGACAAUGCCAAGUUCUCACACUAGCCCAACCCAGCAUAGGUGUAGUGACCCUCUUCUGGGUCAGGUGGGGGGAUCCUCUUUCCCCAGCCCUCUCAUCAUCCCUCCUUUCCCAAACCUCCGUAUUGUUGUAUGAACCCUCUCUGCUUUCUUUUUAACAGUCUCAAACCAACCAAAAAAGUGUCCAUUAUUUACAAAAGCUCAAUUUUUAACACAUGAGAAUAUAAAACUUGGAAGAGGAGGAAAGGGGAAUGCUUGCAAGGGACGCUUUUCAGGCACACAAUCCUGACACAAUACGAUUUUUAAAAUGUGAUUCUCAAGAAAAAGUAGUACAUAAUUCAGCUUAUUUAUAGGAGAGAGUCAGCUUGAUGAAGACUGGGCUUCUGCAAUGCCAGAAAAGGAGCAGAGUGAGAGGAAGGUCUGAUUUGGGAAUGGGUUGGGGCUUCUUCUCUCGACCCUCAGUCCCUCCAUCCCCCAAACACAGU
rnacentral:lncRNA from 1 species